rnacentral:rRNA from 1 species
AUUGAACGCUGGCGGCAGGCCUAACACAUGCAAGUCGAGCGAGCGGCGGACGGGUGAGUAAUGUCUGGGAAACUGCCUGAUGGAGAGGGAUAACUAAUGGAAACGGUAGCUAAUACCGCAUACCAUCAGAUGUGCCCAGAUGGGAUUAGCUAGUAGGUGGGGUAACGGCCCACCUAGGCGACGAUCCCUAGCUGGUCUGAGAGGAUGACCAGCCACACUGAAACUGAGACACGGUCCAGACUCCUACGGGAGGCAGCAGUGGGGAAUAUUGCACAAUGGGCGAAAGCCUGAUGCAGCCAUGCCGCGUGUAUGAAGAAGGCCUUCGGGUUGUAAAGUACUUUCAGCGGGGAGGCGUUACCCGCAGAAGAAGCGCCGGCUAACUACGUGCCAGCAGCCGCGGUAAUUC